GGGGAAUUAGCUCAGUUGGCUAGAGCGCUCGCCUUGCACGCGAGAGGUCAGGAGUUCGACUCUCCUAUUCUCCACCA
rnacentral:tRNA from 1 species